rnacentral:rRNA from 1 species
CAAUAGCGUAUAUUUAAGUUGUUGCAGUUAAAAAGCUCGUAGUUGGAUUUCGGUUAAGAGCGACCGGUCCGCCGUUUGGUGUGCACUGGUUGGUUUUAACUUCCUGUAGAGGACGUGCUCUGGGUUUAACGACCUGGACUCGGAGUCUACGUGGUUACUUUGAAAAAAUCAGAGUGUUCAAAGCAAGCGUUCGCUUGAAUACAUUAGCAUGGAAUAAUGAGAUAGGACCUUGGGCCUACUUUGUUGGUUGCGGGCCUAGGUAAUGAUUAAUAGGAUUGGUUGGGGGUAUUCAUAUUUAAUUGUCAGAGGUGAAAUUCUUGGAUUUAUUAAAGAUGAACUACUGCGAAAGCAUUUACCAAGGACACUUNCAUUA